rnacentral:rRNA from 1 species
UGGGGAAUUUUGCACAAUGGGGGAAACCCUGAUGCAGCGACGCCGCGUGAUUUAGAAGGCCUUCGGGUUGUAAAAAUCUUUUUUACGGGAUGAAAAUGACAGUACCGUAAGAAUAAGGUCCGGCUAAAUACGUGCCAGCAGCCGCGGUAAUACGUAUGGACCGAGCGUUGUCCGGAAUCAUUGGGCGUAAAGGGUACGUAGGCGGCCUAGUAAGUUAGAAGUGAAAUAAUAUAGCUCAACUAUAUAAAGCUUUUAAAACUGCGAGGCUUGAGAGAUGGAAGGGAGAGUUGAAUUCCUAGUGUAGCGGUGAAAUGCGCAGAUAUUAGGAAGAAUACCGGUGGCGAAGGCGACUUUCUGGUCAUCAUCUGACGCUGAGGUACGAAAGCGUGGGUAGCAAACAGG